rnacentral:lncRNA from 1 species
CCGUAUAAUAAUGAAGAAACAGUAGCCAAGAAGAAAUGUAAUUAUAAAGAGGGACGCGGGAUAACUUUCGCUAAAUAGCCUAUCAUUGGAGUCAUGCAGUUGCCUUUUAAAAGUAUUUUAAAGUUAUCAGUAUGUAUACUUUACGGGCCACUCAAUCGUUCAUGGGUCCUCCUUCCGUCCUUCUGGGUGUCUCUGGCUGCAAACGAGUAAAACAGAUGGUAAAUAAGCAUUGUUAUCUACAAAAUAAGUUUUACUUCCUUUCUUCCCUGUAAGUUAGAACCAGGAACAGGCAUCAGUAUGUGGGCGUGAAACUAGCCAUGAAAAACCCGUGGGCUGGCAGAAAUAAUCAGACGCAUCCUUCAUUGUUUACAUUCACUGCAUCGUAGGUCUGUUGUCGGAGUUCUCAAAGCUAUAUUGCUUUCUGUUUGUCUUUAAUAUUGUGCGGUAUAAAUCGCAAUGCCUAAAGAAAUUUCAUUUAAAACGGGAAUGGAUGUGUUCAGCCGUAUUGUGGUUCAGUUUUGUUUAACUUGGUAACUGCGUCGUCUUGAAGUGGGAAUAAUACUAUGGUCUAAGCUGCAAGCAUAAUUCAAAUGUUUAAGGCGGUUUGUGGAUCAUUUCAAUUCAGAUCAAUUUAAAAUCUAUGUGCUUGCGUUACUAUGUCCGCUCCAACGGUGAAUUGAAGCUCCCACCACUUGACUCGACAAUGCUGAAAACAUCAGGUUCUGUUCCUUGCGAUGUUUCUUCUUCCAGUUGUUCCUGUUGGUUUUUA